UACGUAGGGUGCAAGCGUUUAAUCGGAAUUACUGGGCGUAAAGCGUGCGCAGGCGGUUUUGUAAGUUUGUCGUGAAAUCCCCGGGCUCAACCUGGGAAUUGCGAUGAAGACUGCAAGGCUAGAAUCUGGCAGAGGGGGGUAGAAUUCCACGUGUAGCAGUGAAAUGCGUAGAGAUCCGGAGGAAGACCGGUGGCGAAGGCGGUCUGCUGGGCAGUUUCUGACACUGAGGCGCGACAGCGUGGGGAGCAAACAGGG
rnacentral:rRNA from 1 species